UGCGGGAGACAAGUUCAUAUUCGUCCCAUACUAUGAGGAUUAUCAUUGGACCCUACUUGUGAUUUGUGUUUCCAGUAACACAAUCUUCUACUUUGAUUCUGCUCGGUUACCUCAAGUAAGAAAGCGCCUCGUGAGGUCCAUACUACAAAAUACCAUGAAGAAGAUAAAUCCUCGAUCUCCUCGAG